rnacentral:rRNA from 1 species
AACGAACGCUGGCGGCAGGCCUAACACAUGCACGUCGAACGGGAACUUCGGGUCGAGUGGCGGACGGGUGAGUAACGCGUGGGACCGUGCCCUGUGGCUCGGAAUAGCCCCGGGAAACUGGGAGUAAUACCGGACACGGUCGAGAGACGCAAGAUUUAUGGCCGAAGGAUCGGCCCGCGUUAGAUUAGGUAGUCGGUGGGGUAGUGGCAUACCAAGCAGACGAUCCAGAGCUGGUUUGAGAGGAUGAUCAGCCACACUGGGACUGAGACACGGCCCAGACUCCUACGGGAGGCAGCAGUGGGGAAUCUUAGACAAUGGGGGAAACCCUGAUCUAGCCAUGCCGCGUGAGCGAUGAAGGCCUUAGGGUUGUAAAGCUCUUUCAGUGGGGAAGAUAAUGACGGUACCCACAGAAGAAGCCCCGGCUAACUCCGUGCCAGCAGCAGCCGCAGUAA